UACGGGGGGGGCAAGCGUUGUUCGGAAUUACUGGGCGUAAAGGGCUCGUAGGCGGCCAACUAAGUCAGACGUGAAAUCCCUCGGCUUAACCGGGGAACUGCGUCUGAUACUGGAUGGCUUGAGUUCGGGAGAGGGAUGUGGAAUUCCAGGUGUAGCGGUGAAAUGCGUAGAUAUCUGGAGGAGCACCGGUGGCGAAGGCGGCAUCCUGGACCGACACUGACGCUGAUGAGCGAAAGCCAGGGGAGCAAACGGG
rnacentral:rRNA from 1 species